AUUUUGUUCAAACCACAAAAUAUGAUUUUUCUUAUUUUUAAUUUUCAGUUUAAAAUCAACUUAAUCAAAUUGACUUCAAUUUUAUCCAAAUCUGUUACUCUAUUGUAGUGCCGUUUCUAUUUGAGAAAAUUAAAUUAAAGUUCUACAACAUCUCUCUUAAUUAUUUUGAACUCGCUAUCUUUUCUUUCUGUGAUUUUAAUAAUUAAAUUUAUGAUGAAUUCAACAAAGAGAGACUGUUGACAGGAGACAUUGAAAUUGGUAUAGGGAGUUGUUGGACAAUGAUGACAAAUCGACAAAGGGGCUUCAAAAUGUGCAGACUAUUCCCGGAGGCUAAGCACAGAUUUUGUGUAAGACAUUUAUUAAAUUUAUUCGGUGUACUAAAAGAUUUUCUCUAGUAGGCAGCCAAGUCCACAACUAUUGUAGACCACAAACAAUGGAGGCAGCAAAUCAGGCAAUUGAGUGAAGAUCUUUCCUUUGAUUGAUGGAACGACCCCCCUCAAGGAAUGGAUCAAGUGAUAUUUUCAGGUGUAUACCAAAUGCAACAUUUUGUUGAACAACGGAUCUGAGGUUUUCAACAAGACACUUCUAGAGGAUCGGGACAAAAUGAUUCCUAAUAUGUUUGACUUUUAUUCAGUUGACCUAUGUGCAAAGAAUACAGUGGAGGCGGGAUAAAAUGAGGAAUCAUGCUGGCUGACUUUAUCCGAAGAUAAGAAAAAGGGUGCAGUAGGUGGUUGAAUGUGUUGUGCACUUAUCUAGUGGUUCCAAAUGGCAAGUGGAGUGUAGUUAUAGAACAUUUGUGAUUGACCUAGAGGAUGGAAGAUGUGCAUGUAAAAAGUGGGAGUUGACUGGCAUUCUAUACCUUCGUGCGAUGGCCGUGAUCCGCAAGUGUCGAAAUGAAAUUGAAGGCUAUGUUGACAACUGUUAUACGAUAGAUUCGUACUUGAACUAUUACAGGAGUAUUUUGAACCCAAUCAACAAGCCAAGGUUGUGGCCAAAGGUGAAUGCGAAGCCAAUUAAUCUACCAAAACGGACAGUGAAUAAGAAAGGGUGAAGACAAACCAAGAGAAAGAAGUAAGCGGAGGAAGUAGUGAUGCAUAUGCAGGACAAGUCUUGUGUUGCGGAAAAAGACCAUGUGAACAUGAUGUGCUCAGUUUGUGGUGUUGUGGACACAACACAGGACAUCAUUCCUCAGCACCCGUUGUGUUGGAUGUGAGUAAACUACAUUUAUUUCUUCUGUAAUUUAAUUUCUUGAUUCGUGUUUUAGGACUUGUUCAAUGCCCCAUUGGAAGAACUGGGAUCUCAACAAAACCAAUGAGUGUAAGUUAGUAGCUCACAAGCACACCUGCAUGUCAAAAAUUUUGCUUCUUUUCUCAUAUUUGUAGUUCAAUGCUGUAGGGAAGUUGUCUGCCAACAGGGAAAAUCGUCCAUCAACUAGUCGGACACCAGCAACAUAUCAUGUACAUGACAUAACUGACUAGCCACAGGCGUGAAAUCUGGACGAAAUGGUAGGCAAUUUUCAGGAUGCAGAAGAUGUUGAAGCUUCACAGUUUAGGGCAGCUAGAGUGUAUUCCUGAUGAUAUGCGAAGAUGUCUACAGCUACGUCUCGCUGAAGCUGAAUGUGCAUGGAUGUAGAUUGGAGACGGUGAAGCAUAACAUUCCUUGAAGCUUGUUUAUUUUGAUAGUAGUGAAUAGGUUAUCUGUGCAACUGGAACUUUGGGUUGCUUUUGGGGUUGGAAAAUCGUAAGCAGGCUUAGAAUUUUUUGGGAUGAGAAAUGGGUUGGAAAGUGGGAUUUUUUUUUUAUUUUUUUAUUUUUAUCGAAAGAAUGUUUUGAGUGAUAUGGAACGAUAUCAUAUUGUUAUAAUGAUCUUAACAGUAAUACUAACGUAUGUUGCCAUCUUU
rnacentral:lncRNA from 1 species